CAAAGAAUAGUUUAGCGAGAAUCCUAGCUUUGGGAGCUAGGGGCGGGGGUUAGACCCCCUCUUCUUUGA
rnacentral:tRNA from 2 species